CUGCUGCCUCCCGUAGGAGUCUGGUCCGUGUCUCAGUCCCAAUGUGGCCGUUCAACCUCUCAGUCCGGCUACUGAUCGUCGACUUGGUAGGCCGUUACCCCACCAACUAUCUAAUCAGACGCGAGUCCAUCCUUAGGCGCCUCAGCUUUGGUAUAUCUACGAUGCCGUUAAUAUACUUUAUAUGGUAUUACCGUCCGUUUCCAGACGCUAUCCCUUUCCUAAGGGCAGGUUACUCACGCGUUACUCACCCGUCCGCCACU
rnacentral:rRNA from 1 species